rnacentral:rRNA from 1 species
AUUGAACGCUGGCGGCAGGCCUAACACAUGCAAGUUGAACGGUAACAGGAAGCAGCUUGCUGCUUCGCUGACGAGUGGCGGACGGGUGAGUAAUGUCUGGGAAACUGCCUGAUGGAGGGGGAUAACUACUGGAAACGGUAGCUAAUACCGCAUAACGUCGCAAGACCAAAGAGGGGGACCUUCGGGCCUCUUGCCAUCGGAUGUGCCCAGAUGGGAUUAGCUAGUAGGUGGGGUAACGGCUCACCUAGGCGACGAUCCCUAGCUGGUCUGAGAGGAUGACCAGCCACACUGGAACUGAGACACGGUCCAGACUCCUACGGGAGGCAGCAGUGGGGAAUAUUGCACAAUGGGCGCAAGCCUGAUGCAGCCAUGCCGCGUGUAUGAAGAAGGCCUUCGGGUUGUAAAGUACUUUCAGCGGGGAGGAAGGGAGUAAAGUUAAUACCUUUGCUCAUUGACGUUACCCGCAGAAGAAGCACCGGCUAACUCCGUGCCA